UUAAUUUCUGAUUUCCAAGCAACAGACGCUAGAGUUGCUCCAAACUUGUUUUUGGGGAUUUGAGGCAGACUACGGCCUUAGAUCUUGCAUACCUCUGGUUGCUGUCCUAGAAACUCUCAUGCCUUUUUCGCUUCGGGUUCAGUAACACACUUUGACCCUCGCUUCCACAUGUCUCUCCGUUGCGGCAAGUACCGUUUCCAUUCUGUUCCGGUAAUGGAAUACACGGGGUCCGAGCAAGCUGUGUGCUUGUCGGUGGAGCUUGAACGUAGCAGAGAACCGUGCACCCGGCCUCGGUUUCUUCUUGGACAUUUUUGGCAUGUUCAUCUGCAGAACUGUACAUUGUCGCGACUAGACUGCGGUCCGUUCCUGUGUGAUCUCUCUGGAAGAACACGUGUUCCGUGCCGAGAUUUCCACUAAAAAAUAGAUUGGAGAACGCCCAGGAAGCAGCUGUUAAUUGCAAACUUCAUCCCAUCCGCGCGUGUUCCCUUGCCACAGAUACCACUUCGAAACCAGUGACGAGCCUUUUACCUACACCGGCGCUGGUACGCGUCUGUACGAAACCCGGGGAGACAGGAAGGUCUGGUGACCGCUUGACUCCCAUCUGCCGUUUACACAAAUCGAGGAACUUAGCCGACAUUCCUACAGUGCUUAGGCUCAUAGACCCAGCAUCAGCAUCCACCUGGCGCCUUUCGUUCGGAAGGAGAAAAACCGAGGAUCCUGCACAUCAACUACAUGUCUUUCGGCGUCGCUGUCCGUGAAACAUGACGCGUGAAUAAUGAAGAGUGGAGCGGGGGAACGUGUGACGCAGCUUCCUUUGCUAGAGAAAGACGUGGAAAACCGUGGAAAGCAGCAUGCAGCUGCAGAAAGAUACCGCGCGCCCCCGCCGAGAUCCAGAGGCGCGCUCUGCAGGGCGCGGCGGAGAAGUUGUGCACCAAAGAAGAAACAUGUCAACCGGGAAAACAUGACAAGGGGCGAGAAGGACAGUCACCUGGAUCCGACAGGAGAAUGGAAACAACCUCAGUUUCGGCCUUCCUGUGCGUGUCAGAUGGGUUGUGGGACUGUGGGGGAGCGCGCUGCCGCCUAGACCCCAAAACGCGGCAUUGUGUCCUUGCGUUCCAGUUGAAAGUUCAAACGGCUGUUCUAUUUCCACAAUAGUUAUCCUCUUAAUACUGUGCUCUGCCCGCAGCCGUGGUUGGUUGUUCAAUGUGAUCGCCUGCCGAGCGCUUUAACCGCCUCAAGAUCGAUUGCCCUGGAGCUGGCG
rnacentral:lncRNA from 1 species